GAUGAAGAACGUAGCGAGAUGCGAUAAGUAAUGCGAAUUGCAGAAUUCCGUGAGUCAUCGAAUCUUUGAACGCACAUUGCGCCCUCUGGUAUUCCGGAGGGCAUGCCUGUCUGAGCGUCAUUGUCAACCCUCAAGCUCAGCUUGCUGUUGGGUCCCCGUCGUUGCUUUAACGGCGGACCCGAAAGGUAAUGGCAGAGUCCGUGAGACCCUAGACGCAGCGAGCUUCUAGCACGCGUCUGGACGUUUUUCGGGCUCGGUCUUAACUAGAUGAUAACUUCCGAUUGACCUCAGAUCAGGUAGGGAUACCCGCUGAACUUAAGCAUAUCAAUAAGCGGAGGA
rnacentral:misc_RNA from 1 species